GCUGAUGGAGUCAGGGCGUCCAGCCGCUCCUCCAUGCUGACCCCCGCUCCUCUGACAACUGCAGCAGCCCCGGCCCAGCCGGCGUCUGGGUGAGACAGGUCUCUGGGGCCGCCUUUCCCGUGGGUUGUUCUCCGAAAGAAGUGGUGUUGAUGUCAGCAGAUGCCUGUCACUUUCCUUCCCCAGCAAAAUCUCAACUGUCAGACGGAGGCUCAAAGACGUCAAAGAACUCGUCAAAGGUUGCACAGCCAGUCAUUGUGGAGCUGGGAUUUGAACCUAGGACCAUCUCUGCUCCCAGGGUUUUCCCCUGCAUCCCAGAGCAGUGCUGAGAGAGCUGGCCUAGGGGGCCCCUCACAGACUCCUGGCCUCUCUGGGCCUUGGAAGUUUCCUCGGAGAUCCAGUGGUUGAGAGUUUCCAGUGAGCCAGUGGAUGCCCAGCCCAGCCCAGUGCCCGGCCCAGAGCAGGUGUGGGGUGAACGCAAGCUCCUGGGACACAGGACCAAAUUUUCAUGCCUCCCGCAUCUGUGAGCAUCCAGGCAGGACGUGACAAGUCACUCGGAGGACACAGGUGAAGAGACUGAAGUAAAGUGAGGUCUGUGUAGUAAAGGUGCAGACCCUCAGGGGCUUGGGAACAGCAGGGACCCCUAGACCUGAAGGGACAGAAAUGGAGCUAUGGGAGCCCAGUAGCUGAGGUGCCUCUGCAAGUAGGAGGCAGGAGCUCCAAGGGACACAGCCUCUGCCAACGAGUGCCACACUGCCAAGCAGGGCAGAGGUGCCCCCAGCAUCCUUCCCCGCUUCUCCCAGCCUCCCAUGGGGUGAUCCCUCCUGGAAGCUGGAGUCGGGGGGAAGCCCGUGGAGGUCAGCCUCCCAGGGAGCGGAGAAGAAAGUGGCGGACAGGUGGAAGGUGGACAGGUGGAAAAGGAAAAACCUGCCACAGCCCUCAUCCCAGGAAUUUGGAAGAGUUUUGGAGGCUUCCAUUUGGGAGUGGGGACAAGGGAGUCCUAAGCGGGCAUGGUCUUCGCCCCAUGGUCCUGAUACUGAGUCCCACAUGCCCUUCCCCCAGGACUCCUCCCUCCUCUCCACAGGGCCUCACCCUGCCCGUAAGAAUCUCACUUCACAUCUAGUGCUCCCAAAACAGUGCUCCUAGGGAGUUGGAGAGGAUGGCCAGACAGGCUCGGGUUCACCAGUUCCCAACUGACUCGUGUCCUGGCCUUAGCAGCUUCGCCUCUCUGAGGUCGAAGAGGCCCCGUCGGCAGAGUCCAAGCACAAAGCACAGUGCUCGACGCGUAGUGGGUGCUCCGUAGCCCAUCUGCUUCCCCCCCCUCCGCCCUCCUUCCAAUAAGCCUCUGUGGCGUCACGGGUUCGCAUAACAGCGCCCGGGCUCCUGCCACGUGCCAGCCUCCGCCAGGCCCCGACCCGGGCUGCAGAGAACCUGAGAAUCAUUUGUCCUGCAAUGAAAACUGACAGAGCAUCUCCUACGCGCUCGGCUCUGGGGACGCAGCGGUGACAAGACAGCGCUGGACUCUGCUCCUGUGAGGUCUGCGAGGUCUCGGGGAGGCAGACCCCCACGCUGGAGUUUCUGGAGUCCGGGUGCUGUGUCGGGGGCGGCCCAGAGGGCUGCGGGGUGGGGGCCCUGGCAUGGGUCCGCAGUACACACCUAGGAAAGAGCCCCCACCCCGUGAGCUGGGGAGCUGUCCCUGGAUGGCGGGCACA